AAAAUAGCUAUUUUUUUGAACUGCAGUCUGUCUCUGGGCCUCUAUCCACUCGCCAGCCUGCCACAGAGGGCAAGAAGGUGGAAGCAGGUACUGGGGGCGCCAUUAAAGGGGUGCUAAACAGGGUUUGAAAAUCUAUUUCCUUACCUGAAUAAGGAUGCAUGAGAGUUCGACGUGUGUACCAUACUAUUCAGUGACGUUGUGACAUUUAUCAACAUAUGUGCAACUUGUGAGCCCAUACAAAUCAUUAACAUGCUGAACUCCUUGUACUCUAAAUUUGACUGACUGACUAACGUUCAGGAUGUCUAUAAGUGCCCUUAAAAAUAAAGACUUUGAGAUCAGUUGAAGAGGUGAAAUUGAGGUGAAAGGCAAGGGGAAAAUGACCACAUACUUUCUCGACCAGAACUUAAAAGCCACUGAGGAUGACAUAAUGGGCUGGGCAGAGAGAACCAAGAGACACAGGGCAACAGCCAUGGUAAGCACAGAGAACAGAGCUGCAAGGAAACAAACACCAGCAGGAAUACAAUGAGGAGAGGCUUUCAUGUUUUAGCUUUUAUUCAAAGAUACAGGGAGUACUUUAUUUCCUUUAUGCAACAAGGUUUCGUUUUUUAAUCUUUUCAGAUUUAGUAAAAUAAAUCAAUUAAUCAAUACUCAAUAAUGGCUAUAGACAUAGCUAAAACCAAAACCUCAAAUUCAGUUUGCUGAAACUUAAUUUCUGUAGUUUGCUUAGAAAGGAUUUCAAGCCACAGGUGCAACAAACAGGUGACCCUGUGUUGCGAUACAAUGUCACAACCAUAGAACCCAUUCCUGCUCUAGAACCAUUCCUGAUCUAGUACCCAUUCCUGCUAUUUAACCCAUUUCUGCUUUAGAACCCACUCCUAAUGCUCAGACUUUUAGGGCUUGAAAGCUUAAAAGCUCAAGUGCUGUUUUCAAUUUCAUUUUCAUGUGAUGUAAUGGGAAGGACGGUUGGCUGAUUUCCAUACCCUGCCAAGUUCAAACAUCAUCCACCAUCUAAUCACCCCCUAUACAGUGACUGCUUAUGUGAUUCAACACCAGAGGGGAGGUUCUGGGUACAUAUGUAGACACUGAGAACCACAUUUUCAACUGUGUGGUAACAAUAAGCCUGGCCUUAUUUUAGGUUCAGUAAAGGUACUUGAAAAGUGGUCUCAUUGGGAACUUGAGAAAUAAAUAUUUACAGUAAACAUAUACUUUCUGAAUAUACACUUUACAAAAUUGUACAGUGUUGUAGUGAAAUGACAAUGUCAAUUGAAUGGCAAGACAAGGGCUGAAUGUGAACCGCAAACCAUAUGGUAAAGAAGAAGCUCUGUAGUGGAGAGGCAAGUACAGGUCUUGUGCUGUUGUCAGUAUUAUUAACUAAUCAGCCGCUAGGAGGAGAUCCAUUGCAGUGUGAUUAAACACUAGUAAAUUUUUGUUGCCUGGUUUAUCCAACCCCUCAAUCACAUUGUUAUUGGGUCCCAAUAAUAAAACAUUAAAACGACUGUGUUUUAAAUGAACCCUUUUUCUUCCACCCAGAUGAAAUGAACCCCAGCAGAAAGAGCAAUAAAGUGGAUUUACUGGGAGAUGAAACAGACCAUGAAGUAGAGCUGUCAAAUGUAGAUGUCUUUGGCAGGGAUGCUGUA